rnacentral:rRNA from 1 species
UGCGUAGGCGGGCUAAUAAGUCAGUGGUGAAAUCUCUCGGCUCAACCGGGAGACUGCUAUUGAUACUGUUAGUCUUGAGUUCGGUUGAGGUAGGCGGAAUGUGUAAUGUAGCGGUGAAAUGCUUAGAUAUUACACAGAACACCAAUUGCGUAGGCAGCUUACUAGACCGACACUGACGCUGAGGCACGAAAGCGUGGGGAGCGAACAGGAUUAGAUACCCUGGUAGUCC